rnacentral:rRNA from 1 species
GGGGAUAACGUUUGGAAACGAACGCUAAUACCGCAUAAGACCACACUUCCACAUGGGAGAGGGGUCAAAGGAGCAAUCCGCUGAAAGAUGGGCUCGCGUCCGAUUAGAUAGUUGGGGGGGUAACGGCCCACCAAGUCGACGAUCGGUAGCCGGACUGAGAGGUUGAACGGCCACAUUGGGACUGAGACACGGCCCAGACUCCUACGGGAGGCAGCAGUGAGGGAUAUUGGUCAAUGGGGGAAACCCUGAACCAGCAACGCCGCGUGAGGGAAGACGGUUUUCGGAUUGUAAACCUCUGUCCUCUGUGAAGAUAAUGACGGUAGCAGAGGAGGAAGCUCCGGCUAACUACGUGCCAGCAGCCGCGGUAAUACGUAGGGAGCGAGCGUUGUCCGGACUUACUGGGUGUAAAGGGUGCGUAGGCGGGUAAGCAAGUCAGAAGUGAAAUCCAUGGGCUUAACCCAUGAACUGCUUUUGAAACUGUUUAUCUUGAGUGAAGUAGAGGUAGGCGGAAUUCCCGGUGUAGCGGUGAAAUGCGUAGAGAUCGGGAGGAACACCAGUGGCGAAGGCGGCCUACUGGGCUUUAACUGACGCUGAAGCACGAAAGCGUGGGUAGCAAACAGGAUUAGAUACCCU